rnacentral:rRNA from 1 species
UACGAAGGGGGCGAGCGUUGUUCGGAUUUACUGGGCGUAAAGGGCGCGCAGGCGGCUCAUUUUGUCAGGCGUGAAAGCCCCGGGCUUAACCUGGGAACUGCGUUUGAUACGGAUGGGCUAGAGUUCGGGAGAGGAGAGUGGAAUUCCCAGUGUAGAGGUGAAAUUCGUAGAUAUUGGGAAGAACACCGGUGGCGAAGGCGGCUCUCUGGACCGAGACUGACGCUGAGGCGCGAAAGCGUGGGGAGCAAACGGG